ensembl:lncRNA
AUCUCUCUCUGGAGAUCCUUCCUCUUGGAGCCCUUCUAUGAGCCCAGGGCACGGGGCCACCAACCACUGGACCAGGCUGCCCAGAGCCACAUCCAGCCUGGCCUUGAAUGCCCCCAGGGAUAGGGCAUCCACAACCUCCUUGGGCAACCUGUUCCAGCGAAGAGCAAAGAAAAAUUUCUACAGAAAGAGAAAAGAAGAAGAGGAUGAAGGAUCACUUAAAGUGACAGGUGAUUUCUGCAGCCUGUUAAAGAUUUCCUUGAAGACUCCAGAAAGCUUCCUGAAAACAAAUGACUAGAAAUUAUGGAUUUCUCUGCACUAUUGCUGCAAAAUUCCUCAUGCCAGCCAGAACAGGAGGUAUCAUUUGCAAGCACUAUAACUUGUAUGCUAUUUGAGACCACAAGUGUGCUGAAGACUUCAGCAUGCCCACACCCCCCUGUACUGACCUAAUUUGUCAGUGAUUACUUCAGCACCAGUCCACUCAGGUUUAGAAGAUAAGUAAACAAGCACAUGGUAUCUCUGUACUAUUCAAAUUUGAAACUGGAGGCUACUCAGCUAAAUAUCUUAGAUAGAGAUGAAAGAACAAGUAUGAGGGUUAAUAAGGUGUAAUUCUCAUAUAAUGAAAAAGUGAGGUGCUUCCUCAUGCUCAGGUUUGCAGGAUGUCUCAAAGACUCCUGCUAAUUUCAAAAACUAUUAGAAUGCGGGGGAUUAAAAAGUAACACAAGGCAUAAAUUGUUAAAUCCAUCCCGGUUUACUUAACUUCUGGAGGGUCUAAACAUACAUUUUUGUUUGCUGAAGAACAAAAUAAUUUCAGACUUGGGCUAAGAUGACAUUUCUUUGUAAGCAGGUUGCUCUACAAAGCUGUCCGUUCCUACAGCAGGAGGAUUUCUGCUAGCAGAAACAAAAUGAUAGUAUUGAACAAAAGCAGACCCCAUUUUUCAGAGCCUUGUCUGCAGAGAAGGUUCAAUUAUCCCCCUGCUGCUCAGGGAGAGGAGCUCAGGUGAGAGAGGAGCAAAGGAUAUUGCAACUGUAUAUAUUGUAUACAGUACAACUACAUUACAACUGUAGUAGAGAAAGGGUAAGUAAAUUAGCGCUGGUUGUACUUGCAUUGCUGCUUCCAUCAGUGUGUUUGCAAGGCUGGACUCCAUGACUGCAUCCAUACUGCCAAGUGCAUCCAGCUCUACUGAAAGGGUCUAAAGUACCAGGAAGGGCCCGACAGCAUGAUAUUUUAGUAGAAUAUUAAAGGCAUGAUGAGUCCUAAAAGUUGAUGUAGGUGAAAGGCAUGCAUUCAAAAUCUACUGGAGUAGCGUUGGAGGUUGUUUAGGGCAAAGGGAUACAAACUUGAUUCUGUAUUGAAUACUAGUUCUGAAUUCAAGAUUACAACACCUAGAACAGUGCACUGGUGUGCUCAUAGAAGGCAUAGAAGAUAUCUAUUAAUCUUUUUACAUGCCCUCAGUGUUUCUGUAGCUGUAGGUAGAAGUCAUCAAAACUGUAGUUUAUAGACAACUAUAGUGUAUUCCACUAGGCUGAAGUUUUAUUUAACCUUUUAGACUAACAAUACAUAGGUUUAGUGCUAUGGCAUAAAAUGCAAAAGUCUGAAAUGAAUAUCAAGAGUCACAGAUAGACAUAUCUAUGGAGUUCAGUGAAGGGAAAAUUGCUACAUGUUGUUCUUAGCCAUUUUUUGAAAAGUCUCGAAGUCUAAAAAACUCAUCAGGGAAAUAAAUUUAACAUUCAUCUUAUCUAGUCUGUCAGAAUUUGUCCUGCGUGUUUGUUAAAAAGUCUUUCAGCAUUACCAGCACAGCAAAUACCGAACAAUUCUCCCCAGUGUUGGGGAGUUACUGACGUGCAACAAAAUCAACUUAAACUAUGUUGGAGUGUGGGUAAGGUAGACAUAUAUAAUGCCCAUAUUACUUUCAGUAUAUUUUUAAAACUCACAUCUGCCUUUCUGCUGAUUCUCUAAUCUCUGUCCUACAGAGAAUGUUAGAGGCAUUUGAAUGUCUCUAAUAUUUUCAUGCUGAGAUUAUAAAAAAAUAGUUUUGAACCUAAAUGGAUGUGUUUUACACAGAUGUAAAAAUCUGCUUGGACUGUGAGAUUGUUUGGAACCGCAUAGUUAAAGUAAAGGAUCUUAUAAAAAUUGUCUGCUGUGUACUUUGCUAUUGCGUGCCUUACGUGGUCUGUGUAGCUUGAUGUGUGUCUUCUGUUUCAGGUGGGCCUUGAUGAAGCCUAUACAGUAAUUCUUUCUGAUUUUCAGCUAGUAAUUGAAUUAAAAGCUUGCACAAAAUAUAAUGCAUAUUUUUAAAUUCAGUGUAUACUAUUGGUAAGACAGAUGCAGAAAUUCUUUGUGAUUGUAGCUAGGAUAGCAAAACAUGCAUAGGAUUUAUGUUAGCCAACCAUCAACCCAUAAUUUUUGUAGUAAAUAUGCCAUAUUAUUAAGUAGCUUGUUUACAUUUUCAGUUCCGAGCUCUAACCCAGCACAUUACCAUACUUUUAAGAAGUUUAAGUAAAUUUAAGAGAUGUUUUAAAUAUGCAAGGUCUGAGUUGCCUUGGGAUUUUAAUAUUCAUAUUAAGACUCAACAUGGAAAUUAUUUCAAAUACUUAAUUUAGCUCCAUGAAUAUUUUAAAAGACCAAAUGAAUGCGUAGGAUCUAGCUUUAGUGCCUAAAGACUGUUUGGAAAUCAGUGAAGUUAAAUGAGCUGGUCUCUUUAUUUUCAUUUGAAGUUAUAAUAAAUUAUAGAUAAUU